UACAGAGGUCUCAACCGUUGUUCGGAUUCAUUGGGCGUAAAGGGUGCGUAGGCGGUCGUGCAAGUCGGAUGUGAAAUCUCAGGGCUCAACCCUGAAACUGCAUUCGAUACUGCGCGGCUAGAGUGCUGGAGGGGAGACUGGAAUUUACGGUGUAGCAGUGAAAUGCGUAGAUAUCGUAAGGAACACCAGUGGCGAAGGCGACUUUCUGGGCUGUAACUGACGCUGAGGCGCGAAAGCGUGGGGGAGCAAACAGG
rnacentral:rRNA from 1 species